AUUGAACGCUGGCGGCAGGCCUAACACAUGCAAGUCGAACGAGUGGCGGACGGGUGAGUAAUGUCUGGGAAACUGCCUGCUGGAGGGGGAUAACUACUGGAAACGGUAGCUAAUACCGCAUACCAUCGGAUGUGCCCAGAGGGGAUUAGCUAGUAGGUGGGGUAACGGCUCACCUAGGCGACGAGCCCUAGCUGGGCUGAGAGGAUGACCAGCCACACUGCAACUGAGACACGGUCCAGCGUCCGACGGGAGGCAGCAGUGGGGAAUAUUGCACAAUGGGUGCAAGCCUGAUGCAGCCAUUCCGCGUGUAUGAAGAGGGCCUUCGGGUGGUAAAGUACUUGCAGCGGGGAGGCGUUACCCGCAGAAGAAGCACCGGCUAACUCCGUGCCAGCCGCCGCGGUAAUUC
rnacentral:rRNA from 1 species